AUAGUGCAGUGCAAGUGCAUGGUGGACACUCUUCUGUAAAAAAAAAUCAAAGCCUUAAAGGCUGUAAAAGCAAUUGCUGCCAUGUUAAUGUUUUGGGACACUUUUUAUUUUUCAUCUACAUAUAUAAGAAUUAAACCUGACAGGACAUGGUUGUCUAGUGAAAAGCAAGAAGGUUUUGACUUUAUAUCAAUAAAAGACUUAAGCAGGAAAUCAUUUUAAUAUGUUUUAUAUUUCACAAGGAGACAACAAGUUUACCAGGCUAAAGUUGGGGGUAAUUAUGGAUUAUCCCCUGGUAGUGUUUGUAACUGGGCAAUAAUUACUUUUAUUUAUUUAAUUUUAACAAUUUUCAUAAUUAAUUUAAAUUAACCAUUCAUUUAAAACAUUUCACCUUUCGAGACGCUAAUGUUGAAAAAUGGGACAGAAAUAAAAUAACUUACAAGACAUAAACAUGUAAAAAAUAAAU
rnacentral:lncRNA from 1 species